rnacentral:rRNA from 1 species
GAUGAACGCUGGCGGCGUGCCUAAUACAUGCAAGUCGAGCGAACGGACGAGAAGCUUGCUCCUCUGAUGUUAGCGGCGGACGGGUGAGUAACACGUGGAUAACCUACCUAUAAGACUGGGAUAACUUCGGGAAACCGGAGCUAAUACCGGAUAAUAUUUUGAACCGCAUGGUUCAAAAGUUAAAGACGGUCUUGCUGUCACUUAUAGAUUGACCCGCGCUGCAUUAGCUAGUUGGUAAGGUAACGGCUUACCAAGGCAACGAUGCAUAGCCGACCUGAGAGGGUGAUCGGCCACACUGGAACUGAGACACGGUCCAGACUCCUACGGGAGGCAGCAGUAGGGAAUCUUACGCAAUGGGCGAAAGCCUGACGGAGCAACGCCGCGUGAGUGAUGAAGGUCUUCGGAUCGUAAAGCUCUGUUAUUAGGGAAGAACAUAUGUGUAAGUAACUGUGCACAUCUUGACGGUACCUAAACAGAAAGCCACGGCUAACUACGUG